UCUCCGUAGGUGAACCUGCGGAGGGAUCAUUACUGAGUGAGGGCUCAGGCUCAACCUCCAACCCUUUGUGAACCCAUCUUGUUGCUUCGGGGGCGACCCUGCCGGCACUCUGUCGCCGGGCGCCCCCGAAGGUCUCCAAACACUGCAUCUUUGCGUCGGAGUAUAAGUAAAUUAAACAAAACUUUCAACAACGGAUCUCUUGGUUCUGGCAUCGAUGAAGAACGCAGC
rnacentral:misc_RNA from 1 species